rnacentral:misc_RNA from 1 species
AAAGUCGUAACAAGGUCUCCGUUGGUGAACCAGCGGAGGGAUCAUUACUGAGUUAUCUAACUCCCAAACCUUUGUGAACAUACCAUUGUUGCUUCGGCGGACUCGUCCCGGGCGCGCUCUCGAGCGUGAUCCGGAACCAGGCGGCCGCCGAGGGAUUCAAACUCUUGUUUUUAUAGUGGACUUCUGAGUAUCAUGAGUAAAUAAAUCAAAACUUUCAGCAACGGAUCUCUUGGUUCUG